rnacentral:rRNA from 1 species
UACGUAGGGCGCAAGCGUUGUCCGGAAUUAUUGGGCGUAAAGAGCUCGUAGGCGGUCUGUCACGUCUGCCGUGAAAACCCGAGGCUUAACCUCGUGGCUUGCGGUGGAUACGGGCAGACUAGAGGUAGGUAGGGGAGAACGGAAUUCCCAGUGUAGCGGUGAAAUGCGUAGAGAUUGGGAAGAACACCGGUGGCGAAAGCGCUCUACUGGACCGUAACUGACACUGAGGGACGAAAGCUAGGGGAGCGAAAGGG